rnacentral:rRNA from 1 species
AGUUGGAAACGACUGUUAAUACCGCAUAAUAUCUGUGGAUUAAAGGUGGCUUUCGGGCUGUCGCAGAUGGAUGAGCCUGCGUUGGAUUAGCUAGUUGGUGGGGUAAGAGCCCACCAAGGCUACGAUCCAUAGCUGAUUUGAGAGGAUGAUCAGCCACAUUGGGACUGAGACACGGCCCAAACUCCUACGGGAGGCAGCAGUGGGGAAUAUUGGACAAUGGGGGCAACCCUGAUCCAGCAAUGCCAUGUGUGUGAAGAAGGCCCUAGGGUUGUAAAGCACUUUAGUUGGGGAGGAAAGCCUCAAGGUUAAUAGCCUUGAGGGAGGACGUUACCCAAAGAAUAAGCACCGGCUAACUCCGUGCCAGCAGCCGCGGUAAUACGGGGGGUGCAAGCGUUAAUCGGAAUUACUGGGCGUAAAGGGUCUGUAGGUGGUUUGUUAAGUCAGAUGUGAAAGCCCAGGGCUCAACCUUGGAACUGCAUUUGAUACUGGCAAACUAGAGUACGGUAGAGGAAUGGGGAAUUUCUGGUGUAGCGGUGAAAUGCGUAGAGAUCAGAAGGAACACCAAUGGCGAAGGCAACAUUCUGGACCGAUACUGACACUGAGGGACGAAAGCGUGGGGAUCAAACAGUGAUUAGAUACCCUGGUAGUCCACGCUGUAAACGAUGAGUACUAGCUGUUGGAGUCGGUGUAAAGGCUCUAGUGGCGCAGCUAACGCGAUAAGUACUCCGCCUGGGGACUACGGCCGCAAGGCUAAAACUCAAAGGAAUUGACGGGGACCCGCACAAGCGGUGGAGCAUGUGGUUUAAUUCGAUGCAACGCGAAGAACCUUACCUGGUCUUGACAUCCUGCGAACUUUCUAGAGAUAGAUUGGUGCCUUCGGGAACGCAGUGACAGGUGCUGCACGGCUGUCGUCAGCUCGUGUUGUGAAAUGUUGGGUUAAGUCCCGCAACGAGCGCAACCCCUAUUGAUAGUUACCAUCAUUAAGUUGGGUACUCUAUUGAGACUGCCGCUGACAAGGCGGAGGAAGGUGGGGACGACGUCAAGUCAUCAUGGCCCUUACGACCAGGGCUACACACGUGCUACAAUGGGUAUUACAGAGGGCUGCGAAGGUGCGAGCUGGAGCGAA